rnacentral:rRNA from 1 species
AUACGUAGGGUGCAAGCGUUAAUCGGAAUUACUGGGCGUAAAGCGUGCGCAGGCGGUUUUGUAAGACAGUGGUGAAAUCCCCGGGCUCAACCUGGGAACUGCCAUUGUGACUGCAAGGCUAGAGUGCGGCAGAGGGGGAUGGAAUUCCGCGUGUAGCAGUGAAAUGCGUAGAUAUGCGGAGGAACACCGAUGGCGAAGGCAAUCCCCUGGGAUAAUACUGACGCUCAGACACG